rnacentral:rRNA from 1 species
GUGGGUAGCGGUGAAAUUCCAAUCGAGCCCGGAGAUAGCUGGUUCUCCCCGAAAUAGCUUUAGGGCUAGCCUCAAGGUGAGAGAUACGGAGGUAGAGCACUGAAUGUCCUAGGGGGUAUUGCACCUACCGAAGACUAUCAAACUCCGAAUGCCGUCAUCUUAUACUUGGGAGUCAGACUGUGGGUGAUAAGAUUCAUAGUCGAAAGGGCAA